rnacentral:rRNA from 1 species
GGGCCCGCACAAGCGGUGGAGCAUGUGGUUUAAUUCGAAGCAACGCGAAGAACCUUACCAGGGCUUGACAUCCCGUGCAUAGUCUAGAGAUAGAUGAAGUCCUUCGGGACACGGAGACAGGUGGUGCAUGGUUGUCGUCAGCUCGUGUCGUGAGAUGUUGGGUUAAGUCCCGCAACGAGCGCAACCCUUAUUGUUAGUUGCUAGCAGGUCAAGCUGAGCACUCUAACGAGACUGCCGAAGAUAAUUCGGAGGAAGGUGGGGAUGACGUCAAAUCAUCAUGCCCUUUAUGUCCUGGGCUACACACGUGCUACAAUGGCAAUAACAAAGGGGAGCUAAAGUGUGAACUGGAGCAAAUCCCGAAAAAAUUGUCUUAGUUCGGAUUGCAGUCUGCAACUCGACUGCAUGAAGUCGGAAUCGCUAGUAAUCGCGAAUCAGAAUGUCG